UCUUUAGGCUGCACGAGCACCAGCUCCACAUGCUUGGGAGACCAGCCCUGCCCUGUACCAAGUCCUAUAAUUAGAAACUAGGUUUCUAAAUGAGUGAAAAAUGUAACGUUAGCCUCUGUUUGUUCAGUGGACGCCAAACUCUUGUUCCAUGACCCAGAGGGGCUGCGACCUCUAGUUUCCAAGAAGACUUAAUAAGAGUGGGAAUUGAAGCCAGGGAUUCCAGAAUCAGAACUUCUCUGAUGACAGUAAACAGCCUCUCCUUCUCUUCAGUCUCCAGCUGAAUCGCUUUCUACCUGAGCAGUUCAAACAAGCAGAUAAGGCUUUUCUUGCCUCGAAUGCUUUCCCUGAGUGCUCGCCUUCCCAGAAUAGAUACAACUAAGACCGGGCCAAGACCAACGCGUGAGGGAGAUGUCGGCUUUGGGGAGAGAGCUGCGAGUCUGGAACUCAUAACCCUAGACGUCCUGUACACUGCGGUGGAAGCAUAAACAUCCCAGGAAGGCUGCAAGGCAGGAUGUGCUGGGCCAGCCGGCGCCAGCGGCCUGCUCUGGGGAGCAGACUGUUUAUGCCCUGUCAGCCCUGGGGCUCCCUCUAGCUCCCCAGAAAACCAAUAUGAAUGGGAGUCGGAGCCCUGGGGUGUGUGGGAGGCCACAGGAAGCCCAAGUAGGGGAGGAAGGAUUUCCCCAGGCUGAUUGAACUUGACGUCAUCCUUGAACAAGUCACUUGCCAUCUCUGGGUUCUUACUUACACCUUUGUAAAAUGAAGAGUCCUACUAAGUGGUCUGUAAGGUCCCUUCCAACUUUAAAAUCCCAAGUCUAAAAUCCCAUCCAGCCACCUACCAGAAAACAUAGGCCUACGAGGAGGCAUCUUGUCCUCUGCCCUGUUAUUAUACCCACAAUACCCAGCCCCCAGCUUCUCCCCUCCCCUCCCCAACCAUUUUCCACCUCUUACUCUGGGAACAGUAAUCAAAUCAAUACUCCCAUUGCUGCUGGACAUUAGACUGUCUUUUGGUUCUAUCUGCAGUCCUUGGGAUGACCCAGAGUCUAGGCCCUAGAUCAAAACCGUUUUAUCCUGACCACCAUUUUCCUUUAAUUGCUGCUCUCAUCCCUCCCCUACAUGUAAUCUCCUUAGUGACAAGGACCCUUCUGAAUUUGUAUUCCCAACAUCUAGGACAAUACAUGACUUAAUAAACGUCUUAAACUCAAGUACCUAAUAAACACUUUUUUUCUUUCA